GCCUCCGUGGUGUAAUGGCCAGAACACUCGGCAUGCAUUCGAGAGGUCCGAGGUUCGAGUCCCGGUGAGGGCA
rfam:Stegodyphus mimosarum contig8175, whole genome shotgun sequence.